AGGACGAACGCUGGCGGCGUGCUUAACACAUGCAAGUCGAACGGAAAGGCCCGCUUGCGGGUACUCGAGUGGCGAACGGGUGAGUAACACGUGGGCAACCUGCCCUCAGCUCUGGGAUAACUCCGGGAAACCGGGGCUAAUACCGGAUACGACCUCUAAGGGCAUCCGAAGAGGUGGAAAGUUUUUCGGCUGAGGAUGGGCCCGCGGCCUAUCAGCUUGUUGGUGGGGUGACGGCCUACCAAGGCGACGACGGGUAGCCGGCCUGAGAGGGUGACCGGCCACACUGGGACUGAGACACGGCCCAGACUCCUACGGGAGGCAGCAGUGGGGAAUAUUGCGCAAUGGGCGAAAGCCUGACGCAGCGACGCCGCGUGAGGGACGAAGGCCUUCGGGUUGUAAACCUCUUUCAGCAGGGACGAAGCGAAAGUGACGGUACCUGCAGAAGAAGCACCGGCCAACUACGCGCCAGCAGCCGC
rnacentral:rRNA from 1 species